AUACGUAGGUGGCAAGCGUUGUCCGGAAUUAUUGGGCGUAAAGCGCAUGUAGGCGGUUUGGUAAGUCGGUCGUGAAAAUGCGGUGCUUAACGCCGUAUGGCGAUUGAAACUGCUGAACUUGAGUGCAGGAGGGGAAAGGGGAACUCCCAGUGUAGCCGUGAAAUGCGUAGAUAUUGGGAAGAACACCGGUGGCGAAGGCGCCUUUCUGGACUGUGUCUGACGCUCAGAUGCGAAAGCCAGGGUAGCGAACGGGAUUAGAUACCCCGGUAGUCCUGGCCGUAAACGAUGGGUACUAGGUGUGGGAGGUAUCGACUCCUUCCGUGCCGGAGUUAACGCAAUAAGUACCCCGCCUGGGGAGUACGGCCGCAAGGCUUAAACUCAAAGGAAUUGACGGGG
rnacentral:rRNA from 1 species